AGAGUUUGAUCCUGGCUCAGAUUGAACGCUGGCGGCAGGCCUAACACAUGCAAGUCGAGCGGUAACAUUUCUAGCUUGCUAGAAGAUGACGAGCGGCGGACGGGUGAGUAAUGCUUGGGAACAUGCCUUGAGGUGGGGGACAACAGUUGGAAACGACUGCUAAUACCGCAUAAUGUCUACGGACCAAAGGGGGCUUCGGCUCUCGCCUUUAGAUUGGCCCAAGUGGGAUUAGCUAGUUGGUGAGGUAAUGGCUCACCAAGGCAACGAUCCCUAGCUGGUUUGAGAGGAUGAUCAGCCACACUGGGACUGAGACACGGCCCAGACUCCUACGGGAGGCAGCAGUGGGGAAUAUUGCACAAUGGGCGCAAGCCUGAUGCAGCCAUGCCGCGUGUGUGAAGAAGGCCUUCGGGUUGUAAAGCACUUUCAGUCAGGAGGAAAGGUUAGUAGUUAAUACCUGCUAGCUGUGACGUUACUGACAGAAGAAGCACCGGCUAACUCCGUGCCAGCAGCCGCGGUAAUACGGAGGGUGCGAGCGUUAAUCGGAAUUACUGGGCGUAAAGCGUACGC
rnacentral:rRNA from 1 species